AGGUCACUGGGGACCUUUUUGACAUCAUGUCGGGCCAGACAGAUGUGGAUCACCCACUCUGUGAGGAAUGCACAGAUACUCUUUUAGACCAGCUGGACACUCAGCUCAACGUCACUGAAAAUGAGUGUCAGAACUACAAACGCUGUUUGGAGAUCUUAGAGCAAAUGAAUGAGGAUGACAGUGAACAGUUACAGAUGGAGCUAAAGGAGCUGGCACUAGAGGAGGAGAGGCUGAUCCAGGAGCUGGAAGAUGUGGAAAAGAACCGCAAGAUAGUGGCAGAAAAUCUCGAGAAGGUCCAGGCUGAGGCUGAGAGACUGGAUCAGGAGGAAGCUCAGUAUCAGAGAGAAUACAGUGAAUUUAAACGACAACAGCUGGAGCUGGAUGAUGAGCUGAAGAGUGUCGAAAACCAGAUGCGUUAUGCCCAGAUGCAGCUGGAUAAGCUGAAGAAAACCAAUGUCUUUAAUGCAACCUUCCACAUCUGGUAAUGAGAGCUGGGGGAUGAGGAGCACUGCACAUAUCUAGACCUUAGCUGUUGACCACUAAGCCUGGGUGCCCACUUCCCACAAAACAGGGGCUGUAUCUUCACCGAGCUAGGUUUCUUUCAUUCAUAAUGAUGGGAUAGGCACAGUAGGGAUUGGAAUUCUAGAGCUUGGUGACAUCCACCCUUCUAAAGAAAGGAAAAGGCCUGAGCCCUUCAGCCACUUAAAAACCUGG
rnacentral:sRNA from 1 species